rnacentral:misc_RNA from 1 species
GUGAGUAUGGGGAUUGACCUGGUAGGUAUACAGUUGGACAUAUAAAAUAGGCAUGUGUUGGUGGUUCAUCUUGUUAUAGUGUCUAGAAACUCGGUGAACAGUCUCAGGUAUAUACUCCAGGACAAGGUUAAGAUAUAGUUCAUCUCUCUCAGUAGUUGAAAAGAAAAAAUGCUUCAGUUCAACGACAUUAGGAUGGUUGAGCAAGUGCAUGAUCUGAAGUUCUCUAUUCUUGUAUCUCCUAUCCUGCAACACCUUCUUUAUUGCAACUGCUUCACCAGUUUCCAACCACUUAGCCUGAUAGACAACACCAAAUGAACCUGUGCCAACUACACGCUCUGCCAUAAAUGAGAUUGUCUGUUUUGGUUGACCAUUCCGACCACCCACUGUUGUUGCAAUUAUAUGACCAGUUUCUGUUCCAUUACCACUCACCAUGGUAGCCUCCAUAUCCUUUUCGUCAUGGUUGGUUGGUUUGUCAUCCCUGAUCCUCAUCUCAUUCAUUUCUUUGGGAAGCUGAUCAUAACCAGAUUUCUCUGUUCUGGCCAUCAAAGAUGGGUUGGAUGUGCUCGCAGCAUUUUCAACUGAUGUAGAAGCCGUAUGCUGCUCCAUAGCAGUGGCACUUCGAUCAUCUAAGUAUAAUUUCCCAUCAAGUUUCUGCUCUGUUUCUUGAUCAACCUUCAUUCUCUUUGUCAAAGAGUCCCCACCAGGAUCAGAGGAUAUAGAAGUACGACCAGAAGCAAUGCUUUUCAAUCGACGCAUCACAUUCAUGGUUUCUGUCUUCCUCAAAGCCAAACCCUAAUCUCCCUUUCAAUCCCCAAAAACCAACAAAAAAAAAAACUAACGCUAUACAAGCUCAGACGAGAGAAACUCAACCUUCUCUCUCCUCCGCGUUCAACAGAGAGAGAGAGAGAGAAGGAAUUUGAAAAGAAAACUUAAAAAAAAAAAAAAACAACCACAAAGCAAACACGAGUUCACAACAAAAU